UCCACUCUCCCAGUGCAGGGGGCCUGGGUUCAGUCCCUGGUCGGGGAACUAGAUCCUGCAUGCAUGCUGCGACUAAGAGUCCGCAUGAUGCAACUAAAGGAUCCCACAUGCUGCACAACUAAGACCCAACACAGCCAAAAAUAAUAAUAAUUAAUAAAUAAAUAUUUUUUUACGAAACUGCUACUAAACUAACUCCCUCCUCACAUUCUACUUAUGCAGUAGAGAACCGUUCUGCCUUUUUCUUUAUUUUUGACAUAGUUUAUUGCAUUUGGAUCUUUGUACCUGCAAUUCCUUUGCCUAAAAUACACUUCACCCUUUUGUACAGGAGUCACUUCUGGAAAGUAGUCAUUGACAGACUCCCUUUCCCCAGGCAUGGGAUUCAUGUUAAAAAUCCUGAUACUUUCCUUAAAUAGCAUGUUUUACUAUUAAAAUUACAUAAACAAUUAUGUUUUACUAUUACAAUUACAAUUAUGUUGGAAUUGCUUAUUAACCUGUCUUCCCCCUCUAGUCUAUAGGGUAGACAUCAGUACUUUAUCAUGCUUGGCACAUAUUAGGUACUUAAUAAAUAUUUAUUGAAUGAAUUUCAUGUUACUUUUGAAGGAAGCUUUAUAAAGAAAUGCUUCCCAUGUACCAAAGCCUCCUGAUAUGUGUGCCAAGGUGGUAUUACCGAUGUGCCAUGGUACUGAUGCCUGCAGCCCACCAUGCUGAGGGCUGCUGGAGCAGGACCCACCCUGGGUUUGCUACAAUUUGCCCUACAAAUAUUCUGAUUUUCUGUGUGUGCUGGGACCUGAAGAAGGUUGGGGAGCAUUGGUCUUUGCUAACUAGAGUAAAGACUUACUAAAGACUUUACUAAAGUAAAGACUAAAGUCUUUACUUAAGACUACAGUCUUAAGUAAAGACUGUAACUAAAAAUUUGCCUCUUCACAUUUCAUCUCAAUUUUAGUGACAGUUCCCUGGUUAAGACUCCUGGUUGUAGAGAUGCCUGGACUGCUUUUGGAAUCAGUAAAUAGCAUGAAUGGGUGCAGGUUUCUUUGCUGCCCUUGAUCAAAAAUUUUUGAAAUAAGGAACAAAACCUCUGAGUUUAUUUCCCCCACCAAUCUCGAGCGGUUGCUUGGCCAGUUUCCUUCCAUAGGUAGAGAUGGUGGGUUAAAAGAGGAGUGGGACAGACAGACCCUCUCCCCUUUUACAUAACAUGUGUGCUGGAGUGUGGCUUACCAUGUUUAUAUCUAGUAGGUUCUCUCUCCAGAAAUGGCUUGAAUCUGACUAGAUAGUGCGUAAAUUAAAACACUUUUUUAAAAAUUUGAAAUAAACAAUUUUUUCCCCCUAUUGUAGGUCUUAACCAGAAUCAUAUAAAAUGUAAACAUUAUAGAAAUUCGUUAUGUAGAAAAUAAAAUUCCUUAAACUUUCUCUCCUCAAAGAGGAUCAUUUUCAGCAGUUUGGUGUAGAUUACCACAGUUUUUUAUAUACACAGUAACUUUUUGUUUAUUUUAACAAAAAGGGACUCAUGGGACUUAAUGGUAAUUUUUCUUAGCAACAUACUUGAUCACGUCUGGAUCUUAGUGCUCAUAGAUCUGACAUUAUGUUUAAUGGAACGUCAUCUUCCAGUGUGUGCUGGUGCCGUAGUUCACCCCCGUUGGUGGGCAUUGGGUGGUUUCUGAUUUUUUUGCUGUUACAAAUAUCUGCAGUGAACAUUCUUUAACAUAACUUUCUGUGCUCUCGUUAAGAGUGUUUCUGUAGGAUAAAUUCCUAGAAGUGUGGAGGUCCUGGGUCAGAGGGGAUGAAUAUUUGAUACUGUAAUAGGUACUGCUAAAUUGGUUUUGAGAGAACGUUUUACUGUUUUGUUAGCCCUACCGGAAUGAGAGAGUGCCCAUUUUUCUACACCGUUACUAACAUUGUAGAUAAUUUUUGUCUAUCAGAUGAGCAAUAAAUCUAUUUUUAAAAAAAGAUUGCUUUUUCCUGAUAACUACUUAGAUUGAUGAUAUUUUCGUAUAUUUGUGUCAUUUUCUUUUUAAAAUAAGUUUCCUGUUGUAUAUCCUUUAUCCAUUUUUCUUUUUCUCUUUUAAAAUUUUAGCGAUUUAAACAUUUUAUGUGUUUCAGACAUCAGUCUGAUCUGUCUGGGUUUCAUGUCUUGGUGAGAAAGGUUUACUUCCAGGAUUUUUUAAAUUGAUUCUGUUUUUUCUUCAAAUACUCCUGUGGCUGGCAUCUGAAUGUUUAAUUCAUUUGGUAUGUGUUUUGGGGGAUUAGUAUGAGGUGUAGGGCUCUAAUUUUUUUUCCCCUAUGUGCAUUACUGCUUGUCCCAGAUCAUCUGUU